rnacentral:rRNA from 1 species
UACGUAGGGUGCGAGCGUUAAUCGGAAUUACUGGGCGUAAAGUGUGCGCAGGCGGCCGCGCAAGUCGAGUGUGAAAGCCCCCGAGCUUAACUUGGGAAUUGCGCUUGUGACUGGCGAGCUGGAGUGUGGCAGAGGGAGGUGGAAUUCCACGUGUAGCAGUGAAAUGCGUAGAGAUGUGGAGGAACACCGAUGGCGAAGGCAGCCUCCUGGGCCAGCACUGACGCUCAUGCACGAAAGCGUGGGGAGCAAACAGG